UACGGAGGGUGCGAGCGUUUGUCCGGAAUCACUGGGCGUAAAGGGCGCGUAGGCGGCGCGGGCAGUCAACGGUGAAAGCUUGGGGCUCAACCCCGAGUCGGCCGUCGAUACUCCCGGGCUGGAGCACUGUAGAGGCAGGUGGAAUUCCGGGUGUAGCGGUGGAAUGCGUAGAGAGUCCGGAAGAACACCGGUGGCGAAGGCGGCCUGCUGG
rnacentral:rRNA from 1 species